CUCAUUACAAGGAAGGCAGCAGGCGCACAAAUUACCCACUCCGGACCCGGGGAGGUAGUGACGAAAAAUAACAAUACAGAACUCUUUCGAGGCCCUGUAAUUGGAAUGAGUACACUUUAAAUCCUUUAACGAGGAUCCAUUGGAGGGCAAAUCUGGUGCCAGCAGCCGCGGUAAUUCCAGCUCCAAUAG
rnacentral:ncRNA from 1 species